rnacentral:rRNA from 1 species
GAUGAACGCUGGCGGCGUGCCUAAUACAUGCAAGUCGAGCGAACGGACGAGAAGCUUGCUUCUCUGAUGUUAGCGGCGGACGGGUGAGUAACACGUGGAUAACCUACCUAUAAGACUGGGAUAACUUCGGGAAACCGGAGCUAAUACCGGAUGAUAUUUUGAACCGCAUGGUUCAAAAGUGAAAGACGGUCUUGCUGUCACUUAUAGAUGGAUCCGCGCUGCAUUAGCUAGUUGGUAAGGUAACGGCUUACCAAGGCAACGAUGCAUAGCCGACCUGAGAGGGUGAACGGCCACACUGGAACUGAGACACGGUCCAGACUCCUACGGGAGGCAGCAGUAGGGAAUCUUCCGCAAUGGGCGAAAGCCUGACGGAGCAACGCCGCGUGAGUGAUGAAGGUCUUCGGAUCGUAAAACUCUGUCAUUAGGGAAGAACAUAUGUGUAAGUAACUGUGCACAUCUUGACGGUACCUAAUCAGAAAGCCACGGCUAACUACGUG